rnacentral:rRNA from 1 species
GUGGCUUCCGGAGCUAACGCGUUAAGUCGACCGCCUGGGGAGUACGGCCGCAAGGUUAAAACUCAAAUGAAUUGACGGGGGCCCGCACAAGCGGUGGAGCAUGUGGUUUAAUUCGAUGCAACGCGAAGAACCUUACCUACUCUUGACAUCCACGGAAUUUGGCAGAGAUGCCUUAGUGCCUUCGGGAACUGUGAGACAGGUGCUGCAUGGCUGUCGUCAGCUCGUGUUGUGAAAUGUUGGGUUAAGUCCCGCAACGAGCGCAACCCUUAUCCUUUGUUGCCAGCGAUUAGGUCGGGAACUCAAAGGAGACUGCCAGUGAUAAACUGGAGGAAGGUGGGGAUGACGUCAAGUCAUCAUGGCCCUUACGAGUAGGGCUACACACGUGCUACAAUGGCAUAUACAAAGAGAAGCGACCUCGCGAGAGCAAGCGGACCUCAUAAAGUAUGUCGUAGUCCGGAUUGGAGUCUGCAACUCGACUCCAUGAAGUCGGAAUCGCUAGUAAUCGUGGAUCAGAAUGCCACGGUGAAUACGUUCCCGGGCCUUGUACACACCGCCCGUCACACCAUGGGAGUGGGUUGCAAAAGAAGUAGGUAGCUUAACCUUCGGGAGGGCGCUUACCACUUUGUGAUUCAUGACUGGGGUGAAGUCGUAACAAGGUAACCGUAGGGGAACCUGCGGUUG